ncrna:Streptomyces mirabilis L31-Actinobacteria ribosomal protein leader
UCGGCCCCGGUUCACGCCCCCGCAGCCCGCGGGGGCGACCCGGUGCC